GCUUAGUAAUCUAGUGGUAAGGACUCUUGCCUCUCACCCUGGAGUCCUGGGUUCAAUCCUCGGUCGAGGAGCU